GUCGACGUCGAUCUAAUUUUGUUGAGGAUUUCCUUCUUUGGAUUCCGUCUUACAGACACGAGGAGGAGGAGGAGAAGAAUGCUAAAUUACGAAUGGUCGGAUUCGUCGUCUCCGAUGUUAGUCUCCGUCGAUGAUUCCACCACCCAAGUUUCCGACCAAACUCGUCAGAUUUUCGACCAUAUACAAUGAACUAAGGUGAUAGAAAGGGGUCCGUCACUGUAAAGAGAGAUAGAGAGAUAGAGAGAGAGAUAUCUCAUGGGAGAAUGAAGUCCCUUUAGGGGAGGGAUAAAAAAUCGUCUGUUGUUCUAAUAUCUGUUUUUCCAUGUUUUGCUAGGUGCAGAACAUGACACGUGGCUGAGUCAGUUAGCCACGUGUCGCCAGAUAUCUGAAACCGUUGAAAGGGAAUAGUCCGUGAAGGGUUUGGCCAUUUGGUGGGUUAUGUUUGGAAAGAUAACCCAAAUGGUGAAAAGAUCUAAUUAGCUGGGGCAAAUUGGACAUUUCAUAUUCUUUUAUUAGAAUCUCAUAACCAAAAUAUACAUUGACGUUUAAAAUGCCAUUUUAACAAGCUCCCUUGCCGUACCCUCCCUAGUCUCCGACCAAUCCAACCUCUCUCUUCUUUCCGUGGAGCUUGAAGUGGCCGGCCACAUCAAGGCAGCACUGUCGUAGAAACAAAAAAUUAUAAUCUCAAACACUUAGCAACCUUGUAAGGCUGUAACUCUCUGUUCACUUGAUACCCCCUAACCUCUCCUAUAAAUAUAUUCAAAAUUUGGGGACAUGGAGAUUGCAAGGAAGCUGUUCGAUAGAACGCCCAUUAGAGACGUAACUUCUUGGAUCACAAUGAUUUCAGGGUGCAUAGAGAAUGUUGACACCAAAAAGAUGCUUACUGAUGUUUUAGAUGAAGAAAAGGUUUGUUGUAUCUUGAGCUUCAGGUCCGAAGUCCAGCAAUCUUUGGAUGAUGCCCUUUAAGGACAUGAUUGAUGGGAUGAGACUGAACUUGAAGAAAUCUAUAUACAAGAAAUUUGAUGAACUGUAUCUCUACUGCUAUUAUGUAGCUGGUACAAUUGGACAAAUAAAUUAAGGUUUGAGAUAGGACAAAAUCAAGAGUCUUUGUUGGCUCUGUUUUGUAAAGGUGGAAGAGUCUUGGUGAACAAUAGCACAUGAAAAAUUUCAACACCAAACCAAUACUUGAAACAAGUUACUUCAAGGUCAAAGAAGAUGAUACAAUGAAUGACACUCCUCUCUUUCAAGUUAUUUGACAUCAUGAUCUCCCAUUUUAGAGCAUGAAGAAUAUAUUGUCAUAGCACUUUAGCCGUGCCACAAAGUGAUUAUUUUAGGACAAUGAGGUGGUGAAAAUUGAUGAGGUGGUUCCACAAAGUGAUUAUUUUUGGUAUCUGGGCUCAAUCAUAAAUAGAGAAGGUGAUAUAAAUGACGAUGUUUCAUAAAUCAUUAAAAUAUGAUGGAUGAAAUGGAGAUGUGUGUCUGGAGUGUUGUGUGAA